GCAGUGGUGGUUCAGUGGUAGAAUUUUUUGACUUCCAUGCAGGAUACUGGGGUUCGAUUCCCAGCCAAUGCA
rnacentral:tRNA from 1 species